UUGAUAAAAUAUAAGAGGUCCAGCCUGCCCAGUGACAUAGUUAAACGGCCGCGGUACCCUGACCGUGCGAAGGUAGCAUAAUCACUUGUUCUUUAAAUGGGGACUCGUAUCAACGGCAUCACGAGGGCUUUACUGUCUCCUUUCUCCAAUCAGUGAAACUGAUCUCCCCGUGAAGAAGCGGGGAUGACAAUAUAAGACGAGAAGACCCCAUGGAGCUUUAAACCCAACGACACCCCUCAACCCCCCAACCCAUUAUAGUUGCUACAGCCCUGUUCGUUGGUUUUAGGUUGGGGUGACCGCGGAGUAUAAAUUACCCUCCACGACGAAUGGGACUACCCCCUUACCCAAGAGCUACUCCUCUAAGGAUCAACAGAUUGACGUAAAAUGAUCCAAGCAUUUGAUCAACGGACCAAGUUACCCUGGGGAUAACAGCGCAAUCCAUUUCAAGAGCUCCUAUCGACAAAUGGGUUUACGACCUCGAUGUUGGAUCAGGGUACCCAAGUGGUGCAGCCGCUACUAAUGGUUUGUUUGUUCAACAAUUAAAACCCU
rnacentral:rRNA from 1 species